rnacentral:rRNA from 1 species
GACGUAGGGCGCGAGCGUUGUCCGGAUUUAUUGGGCGUAAAGAGCUCGUAGGCGGCUUGUCGCGUCGUCCGUGAAAACUCACAGCUCAACUGUGAGCUUGCGGUCGAUACGGGCAGGCUGGAGUUCGGUAGGGGAGACUGGAAUUCCUGGUGUAGCGGUGAAAUGCGCAGAUAUCAGGAGGAACACCGGUGGCGAAGGCGGGUCUCUGGACAGUUCCUGACACUGAGGCACGAAGGCCAGGGGAGCAAACGGG